rnacentral:rRNA from 1 species
UACGGAGGGUGCAAACGUUGCUCGGAAUCAUUGGGCGUAAAGCGCACGUAGGCGUCUCGAAAGUCAGAUGUGAAAGCCCCUCGGCUUAACCAAGGAAGUGCAUUUGAAACUUCGAGACUUGAGUACUGGAGAGGGUCGCAGAAUUCUCGGUGUAGAGGUGAAAUUCGUAGAUAUCGGGAGGAAUACCAGUGGCGAAGGCGGCUCACUGGACUGGUAUUGACGCUGAGG